rnacentral:rRNA from 1 species
AUGCUCUGUAACCCAAAGCUCCGGCGCCCUAGGAUGGGUCUGCGGCCGAUUAGGUUGUUGUCGGGGUAACGGCCCAACAAGCCGAUCAUCGGUACGGGUUGUGGGAGCAAGAGCCCGGAGAUGGAUUCUGAGACAUGAAUCCAGGCCCUACGGGGCGCAGCAGGCGCGAAAACUUUACAAUGCGGGAAACCGUGAUAAGGGGACCCCGAGUGCCUGUACACGCAGGCUGCUCAGGUGUUUAAAACGCAUCUGGAGAAAGGGCCGGGCAAGACCGGUGCCAGCCGCCGCGGUAAUACCGGCGGCUCGAGUGGUGGCCACUAUUACUGGGCUUAAAGCGUCCGUAGCCGGGUCGUUAAGUCUCCCGGGAAAUCCAACGGCUUAACCGUUGGGCGUUCGGGGGAUACUGGCGAUCUAGGGAUCGGGGGAGGUGAGAGGUACUCUAGGGGUAGGAGUGAAAUCCUGUAAUCCUUGGGGGACCACCUGUGGCGAAGGCGUCUCACCAGAACGACUCCGACGGUGAGGGACGAAAGCUGGGGGAGCAAACCGGAUUAGAUACCCGGGUAGUCCCAGCUGUAAACGAUGCGCGUUAGGUGUAUCGGUGACUACGAGUUACCGAGGUGCCGAAGGGAAACCGUGA